rnacentral:rRNA from 1 species
CCUACGGGGGGCUGCAGUGGGGAAUAUUGGACAAUGGGGGCAACCCUGAUCCAGCCAUGCCGCGUGUGUGAAGAAGGCCCUCGGGUUGUAAAGCACUUUCAGUGAGGAAGAACGCCUGGUGGUUAAUACCCAUCAGGAAAGACAUCACUCACAGAAGAAGCACCGGCUAACUCCGUGCCAGCAGCCGCGGUAAUACGGAGGGUGCGAGCGUUAAUCGGAAUUACUGGGCGUAAAGCGCGCGUAGGUGGCUUGAUAAGCCGGUUGUGAAAGCCCCGGGCUCAACCUGGGAACGGCAUCCGGAACUGUCAAGCUAGAGUGCAGGAGAGGAAGGUGGAAUUGCCGGUGUAGCGGUGAAAUGCGUAGAGAUCGGGAGGAAUACCAGUGGCGAAGGCGGCCUUCUGGACUGAUACUGACACUGAGGUGCGAAAGCGUGGGUAGCAAACAGGAUUAGAUACCCUUGUAGUC